rnacentral:rRNA from 1 species
CCCUUAGAUGUUCUGGGCCGCACGCGCGCUACACUGAUGUAUUCAACGAGUCUAUAGCCUUGGCCGAUAGGCCCGGGUAAUCUUUGAAAUUUCAUCGUGAUGGGGAUAGAUCAUUGCAAUUGUUGGCCUUCAACGAGGAAUGCCUAGUAGGCACAAGUCAUCAGCUUGUGCCGAUUACGUCCCUGCCCUUUGUACACACCGCCCGUCGCUACUACCGAUUGAAUGGCUCAGUGAGGCAUUCGGACUGGCCCAGGGAGGUUGGCAACGACCACCCAGGGCCGGAAAGUUGGUCAAACUUGGUCAUUUAGAGGAAGUAAAAGUCGUAACA